UACGUAGGGGGCUAGCGUUAUCCGGAAUUACUGGGCGUAAAGGGUGCGUAGGUGGUUUCUUAAGUCAUAGGUGAAAGGCUACGGCUCAACCGUAGUAAGCCUUUGAAACUGGGAAACUUGAGUGCAGGAGAGGAGAGUGGAAUUCUUAGUGUAGCGGUGAAAUGCGUAGAUAUUAGGAGGAACACCAGUUGCGAAGGCGGCUCUCUGGACUGUAACUGACACUGAGGCACGAAAGCGUGGGGAGCAAACAGGAUUAGAUACCCUGGUAGUCCCUGAG
rnacentral:rRNA from 1 species